rnacentral:rRNA from 1 species
UACAGAGGUCCCAAGCGUUGUUCGGAAUUACUGGGCGUAAAGCGUGCGCAGGCGGUUUUGUAAGUCUGAUGUGAAAUCCCCGGGCUCAACCUGGGAAUUGCAUUGGAGACUGCAAGGCUAGAAUCUGGCAGAGGGGGGUAGAAUUCCACGUGUAGCAGUGAAAUGCGUAGAGAUGUGGAGGAACACCGAUGGCGAAGGCAGCCCCCUGGGUCAAGAUUGACGCUCAUGCACGAAAGCGUGGGGAGCAAACAGG